rnacentral:sRNA from 1 species
CCCCUUCCAGUGUCAUCCUUUCCUCCUUCCCUGGUUCUUUCCUCUCUCCACUCCCAUCUCACUCCCACUGCCCUUAUCAGGUCUCCCGGAAUGUUCUGGAGCAGAUCACGAGCUUUGCCCUUGGCAUGUCAUACCACUUGCCUCUGGUGCAGCAUGUGCAGUUCAUCUUCGACCUCAUGGAAUAUUCACUCAGCAUCAGUGGCCUCAUCGACUUUGCCAUUCAGCUGCUGAAUGAACUGAGUGUAGUUGAGGCUGAGCUGCUUCUCAAAUCCUCGGAUCUGGUGGGCAGCUACACUACUAGCCUGUGCCUGUGCAUCGUGGCUGUCCUGCGGCACUAUCAUGCCUGCCUCAUCCUCAACCAGGACCAGAUGGCACAGGUCUUUGAGGGGCUGUGUGGCGUCGUGAAGCAUGGGAUGAACCGGUCCGAUGGCUCCUCUGC